CCUACGGGUGGCAGCAGUGGGGAAUAUUGGACAAUGGGGGCAACCCUGAUCCAGCCAUGCCGCGUGUGUGAAGAAGGCCCUCGGGUUGUAAAGCACUUUCAGUGAGGAAGAACGCCUGGUGGUUAAUACCCAUCAGGAAAGACAUCACUCACAGAAGAAGCACCGGCUAACUCCGUGCCAGCAGCCGCGGUAAUACGGAGGGUGCGAGCGUUAAUCGGAAUUACUGGGCGUAAAGCGCGCGUAGGUGGCUUGAUAAGCCGGUUGUGAAAGCCCCGGGCUCAACCUGGGAACGGCAUCCGGAACUGUCAAGCUAGAGUGCAGGAGAGGAAGGUAGAAUUCCGGUGUAGCGGUGAAAUGCGUAGAGAUCGGGAGGAAUACCAGUGGCGAAGGCGGCCUUCUGGACUGACACUGACACUGAGGUGCGAAAGCGUGGGUAGCAAACAGGAUUAGAUACCCUGGUAGUC
rnacentral:rRNA from 1 species